rnacentral:lncRNA from 1 species
CAUUCUCAUGCCCCCCAUGUCUUCCCACCUAAGCCAUCCCACUAACUCCCCUACCUUAUCCAUAAGAGACCCAUCUCAGGAGCUGGACGCUGACACUCCCUUGGAGUUGUUCUUAUCUAGGAGCUCUCACCUGGACUUCCUAGAUUCAAGGCAGUAAGAAUUAACCCACCAGAGAUCUUCUGAACAUCUCCUUUGCCUAACUCCCACCGCUGAAAACUGUGAGGUAAGUCCUCUGAGGGAGUGCUUGAAGGUGUCUGUCCCUCAGGUGGGUUGUC